AGGUUCCUUCGGGGGCUGGUGAAAUUCCACACCGGCGGUGAUGCCUAAAAAGGACGAGCCCGCGAGCCGGGAUUAAACCGGCUGAUCCGGUGAGAAUCCGGAGCCGACAGUGAAAGUCUGGACGGGAGAGGGAAACC
rnacentral:ncRNA from 2 species